rnacentral:rRNA from 1 species
UAGCCAUGCGGCAGCUAUACAUGCAGUCGACGGGAUCCGCUGGAGAGCUUGCUCGAAGGCGGUGAGAGUGGCGCACGGGUGCGUAACGCGUGAGCAACCUACCCUUGUCAGGGGGAUAGCCCGGCGAAAGUCGGAUUAACACCGCAUGACACCACGAGAUGGCAUCAUUUUGUGGUCAAAUAUUUAUAGGACAGGGAUGGGCUCGCGUGACAUUAGCUAGUUGGUAGGGUAACGGCUUACCAAGGCUACGAUGUCUAGGGGCUCUGAGAGGAGAAUUCCCCACACUGGUACUGAGACACGGACCAGACUCCUACGGGAGGCAGCAGUAAGGAAUAUUGGUCAAUGGACGCAAGUCUGAACCAGCCAUGCCGCGUGCAGGAAGACGGCCCUAUGGGUUGUAAACUGCUUUUGUACGGGAACAAACCCUUCUACGUGUAGGGGGCUGAGUGUACCGUAAGAAUAAGGAUCGGCUAACUCCGUGCCAGCAGCCGCGGUAA